CUCGUUUCCGCACGACACGACACGGCACCUACCCUCCGUUGAUCAUCGCCCAACGCUGACCGACCGGGAAGCCGGUCCUCCUCCUCCUCCUCUCUCCCCUCUCCGUCUACCGCGAUCCGUGUCCCCAGAUUCGUCCGCCAUCCGGUCUCAUCUCUCCUCCUCCCCCCUCUGCCCUGCUCUCCGUCCCCGAGCUCCCACGCGCGCCCCCACCCGACCAGCCCCGGCGACGCGGCCCCGGCCGUCCUGCUCGUCUCUCCCGCCCGCGACCCCGGCGGCCGCCCCCACUCCGUCCCCGACCCUGCGGCGCCGUGAUCCAAUCGAUCCAUCAAGGCUCGACUAACCUCUUCCAGCGCCUCUUCAGCGCGGGAGAUCUACCAGAGUCGGCGGGCGUGGAGCGUAGGCGCGGGCGUGGAGCGUGGCGUGCAGCCCGAGUCCGCCCCCGGCUCUAGGUUUCUGCCAAUCUUCUACUACCUGCGAUACGCGCUCCGGGGCCAGAAGCGCUCGUUGCCGGCUGCCUCGUGCUCGGAAUGGCAGAUGGGGACUCGUCCGACUUCACCUUCUGCAAGGUUGACUAUGCUGAAAAUGAUGGUCGUUUGGACUCCCCUAAUUCCAUCGCUGUGGCAAGUAUGACACUGGAGGAUGUUGCCGGUGAUGGUGAGACUAAGAAGGUUCAGGAUGACAAGCAAACAGUCAGUCCAGUUACUGAUGAAAAAUCUAGUUCCAUAUCUAGUCGCGCCAAUGGUGUAUCACUUCAAGAGUCCAAUUUAAAAGAACCAGUUGUACCAACCAGUAGUGGAGAGUCUGUGCAGUCAAAUGUAUUAGCUCAACCAAAACCUUUAAAGAAAUCUGCUGUACGGGCAAAGGUUCCUUUUGAGAAGGGCUUUAGCCCAAUGGACUGGCUUAAGCUGACUCGUACACAUCCAGAUCUGGCAGGGCUCAAGGGACAGUCAAAUCGAAGGUUAAUUUCUUUGGAAGAAGUUAAGCAGCAUAAAACUGGAGAUUGUGUCUGGACAGUUUUAAAAGGUCGUGUGUACAAUAUUGGUCCCUACAUGAAAUUUCAUCCUGGAGGAGUUGAUAUGCUUAUGAAGGGUGCUGGAAAAGACUGCACUGCUUUGUUCAAUAAAUACCAUGCCUGGGUGAACGCAGAGUUCCUCUUGGAGAAAUGCCUCGUGGGAUACCUUGAUCCCAAUGAGUAGAUCACGCUCUAGCUGGUUCUCAGGGUCGGGUACAGUUUGGUCGCGUGGAGAUGAUCUGAAGAAUGUAAACAAACAAAUUGUCAUCACUGGUUGGCUGCUGCAUAAAAAAAGUACUACAUGUUGGGUAUCUCUGUUGUUGGGCGGUUUUAUUUCAAAAAGGGGCAAAAAAAAUGGAGCUUCUCUUUCUAUUUUUUGAAGGAGAAAGGCAAGGAAAGAGGAAACACUGGUAGCAUUCCAGCAGAAACAAAUACUAACAUAUUACAUGAUCG
rnacentral:rRNA from 1 species